GUAUCAGCUUAAAUCUUUUGGAAUAAACCAGUUUGGUCCUGACACGAUUUGUCUGUCUCCAAUCAGUAUUUCGGAGUGUGCUGCUUUUUAUUUGCGUUAAGCUGCCUAACCAGUUUUCUUGCGAGCCUAAUGGAUGAAAUUUUACUUCCCGUUUCCCUGGCAGAGGUGAGGUAUCGGAGUGCUUUUUCGAUUGUUUACCUUCAGAGCAGAGCGUUCUCGUUCUUCUCGUUCUCCCGUGCCGGCCAGCUGAGAGCCAAGUACACCGUGCUGCCUCGCAUACCGUAGUGCUUUCUCCAGGAAAUCUAGUCAUGCUAAAACACAGCCUAUUUUUGUUCACCAUUGGACUAACUUUAACAGAAAACUCUUUUUGGAUGAGAGGGGUAUCUUCUGAAGAGACAUCCAGAGUUUCAACAUUUGAAAUAAUUAUUCCUCAACGUCUGACAGGCAAAGAGAAACAUCGCCCAUUUUUUCAUGAGGAGCAUUCAGAUGACAAUCUUUCUUACUCAAUUAAAACAAGAAAUGGAACGUACCUCCUAACACUGAAGAAAAAUAAAGACCUUGUUAGCAAAGAUUUUAUGCUAUAUACGUACAGAAAAAAUGGGACACUGGAGGCAACACAAUCAAAAAUCAAGACACACUGUUAUUAUCAUGGCACUGUUGAAGGAAUGGCUGACUCAAUGCUUGCUCUUAGCACAUGCGAUGGCCUGAGAGGAAUUAUCUACAUUGGUGGUAAAUGGUAUGGAAUGGAGCCACUCAACUCAUCCAGCACAUUUGAACACAUGUUUUACCAGUUAGAAGAUAUGGAGCAUAUCCCUUUCCGAUGUGGUAUGCAGAAUGACAGCCUUCAUCAUGAGAUGAAGAUGUUUGUGAAGCAGUCUGUGAAAUAUGCAUUUUCAUCAAACAGUACCUCGAGUGGGGGAAAACUUUUGAGGAACAAGCGAGCUGUCCUGCCACAGGAAAGCUAUGUGGAAUUAUUUAUGGUCGUGGAUCAUAACAGGUUUUUGCUGAAGAAAUCGGAUCCUGCUGCAGUGCAAAAGGAAACGGUUGAGCUGAUUAAUUAUGUUGAUGGGAUGUAUAGAGCAUUGAACAUCCAGAUUGUUUUGGUAGGAUUGGAGAUAUGGACAGUUACAAACCCCAUCUCGGUAAUGGAUGGUUCAGCUGGAGACGUACUGGGUAGAUUCGUUUCUUGGAGACAGAAGGAGCUUCUAAAACGAUCAAGAAAUGAUGUUAGUCAUCUCAUAAUAGGGAGAAAUUCUUAUGGUGGAUCCAUUGGAAUGGCUUUUGUAGGUACCGUCUGCUCACAGGUCCAGGGAGGGUCAAUCAGCACUUUGAAUCAUAGCAAUUUGUUACGUCAUGCUACAGUUGUUGCACAUGAAUUGGGUCAUAACCUUGGAAUGAAACAUGAUGAUGAAAGGUGUCCUGCAUCCUACAUUAUGUACAGCACAGAUAAGGGAUCCAGGAAUUUCAGCACCUGCAGUGCUGAUGAUUUUGAGAACUUUAUUCUAAAUGGAGGAGGAAACUGCCUUAGAAAUCCCCCCAAAACAAGCAAUGUUUACAGAGAACCUGUCUGUGGUAAUAACGUGGUCGAUAACAACGAAGAAUGUGACUGUGGUAAACCACAGGAAUGUACUAACCCUUGCUGUGAUGCUGCAACCUGCAAACUUACACCUGGAUCGCAGUGUGCUCAAGGACUGUGCUGCAAAAAUUGCAAGUUUAAAGUGGCAGGAACAGAAUGCAGAUCGAAGAUGGACUUCUGUGAUCUACCUGAAUACUGCAAUGGAAGCUAUGCCUACUGUCCAGAUGACGUUUAUAUCAUGAAUGGUUACCCAUGCAACGACAUGAAAGCCUAUUGCUACUAUGGAGUAUGCCAGAGUUUUGAUUCACAAUGUGAAGCUAUAUAUGGAAAAGGGGCAAGAAAAGCACCUGAUCUAUGCUUUGAAAAAGCCAAUAUUAAAGGGGAUAGGUUUGGAAACUGUGGAAUGAGAGGUGGAGUAUACAAGAAAUGUCCUGUUGUGCAUAGUUUGUGUGGCAAGGUCCAGUGCACUUCUGUUAGUCUUCAAAAUCUUCCUGCUUGGAGUGUUGUCAAUAAUGCGUCUGGGGUUUUAUGCUGGUCUUCUGAUUUUGACUUAGGAUCAGAUGUCCCUGAUCCUGCUCAAGUUCAUGAUGGAACAGCCUGUGGAGAAAGGAAGGCCUGUUUAGAUUUUGAGUGUGUUGAUGCAAGUUUUCUGGGCUACAGCUGUGAUGUAAAGCAGAAGUGUAACAAUAAUGGGGUGUGUAACAACAACGGGAACUGCCAUUGCCAUUCGGGGUGGGCGCCUCCCUUCUGUAACCAGUCAGGCUAUGGUGGCAGUGUUGACAGUGGUCCAGCUCACAUAGAUACAUCACUUCGGGAUGGUCUGCUUAUAUUUUUCUUCCUUGUAAUGCCAAUAUUGAUUGUGAUUGUAAUAGCAGUAAUUAAGCGUGAUGCGAUAAAAAGAAAGUUCUGCAGGAAAAGCAGAAGACAACACAGGGAUAACAACGUGCAGCAACCAAAGCAAAAUAACGGACCAGCUCAUAGCACAGGAAAUAAUCAGGUAAGACAGACGCAUGCUUGCAUUACUUCAUGCUGAGUAAUCCAAAUUAUACAGUGCCUUUUCUCUAAUGUAGUUACUGAUGAGUUUGUGUUUGUUCAAUACACUAAACCCAUCAGAAUUUCCAAGUAUGUAAAUUGGACAAGACUUCUGUUUGGGUAAGUAUGGACCUUAUUGCCUGCCCUGCUGCUGCUCAGCAGGGCAGCCAAGACUGAACUCUGAAUUCUGUAGCCAAGUACCAGAGAAGCUGCUUAGCCAGGCUGUGGAUCUUGUUCUUUUAUUAUUAUUAUUAUUAAAAAAAAAGAUCAAAACACAAUAUGCAAGGGAAUAUGAAAUGUCACAGGAAAUGAAAAUAACCUCUGAAAUACUUUAUAGUGAGUAAUGAGCCACACUUUGAGACGUGUUCCCUGUUAACCUGAUUUUCUGCAAUAUCUUUUCUAGUCUGCCACAUCAAAUCCUGAUUUUUUUACCAUAUCCCAUUUUCCCAGCC